GCUACAAUAAUUUCGUCCGGCUGCGCGGAAGUCGAGUUGCGCGGAUGGUUUGAGGUGAGGGAAAACCUGGGCCGGGUCAGUCCGCGCUGAACGGACGUCCGCUCUAAGGUUUGCGUCAACACGGUCCCCAUAUUGACGUGGCCAGGUUAUAGUUUAGGGGAGACGGAUCGGGCCAGAGGGGAAACCAAGCGGCCAACAGACUCCGCGGCUCGGACCAGCGGGACGGCGUCUGCGAUUGGCGCGCUCGUGCGCAGGCAGCCCCGUAGAUACAAUCAAACCGCAAUC